UCUUUUGCAUACUUCUUAUGCUCCCUCCCAAAAUCUCUUUGCCUCCUCACUUUUUCUCUAUCUCUCAUUUCAUAUAUAUCUUCUUUAUUUUUCACUAUAUCUCCUUUCAUACCUCAUUUCCUUCUCGUCAUAGUAUUCUUUCGUUUUCUUUAAUCUCAUCUAAUCGCAUACCUCAUUUCCUUUUCAUUAUAACCUCUAUAUCUUCUUUCUUUCUUAAUUUCAAACUCAUCUUCAAUUUGAGAUGAUCUUCCAUGACGAGAUAUCUCUUACAAGCUCUUUUCUCAAGGUAUUCAUUUGUCAUUUGAGUAUUCUAAAUUUUUGUAAAAUAACCCAUAAGAGAAGUGAGUAUAUGAGAAGGGGAGUUUGAUUUAGUUCCACUCAUGAUUUCAACAACAACAAAUCAACAAGUUUCACAAUAAUCAAGCAAAUAACAAGAACAAAUUAAGAAAAUAAAAAUAAGGCCCUCAAUACUCACUAAAUAUUUACAUUCAAUAAAUAUAUCACUCGUGUAUAUCACUCAACGGUAACUUUUUUCAAUGAUGUGCUUCUUGCAUUUUCCCACUCAAACUCCUCUUUUAAGUUCUUAAAAAAACCCAAAGCAAGAAUCUAAAUCAAAGAAUCCAAACAUAAUGUAACAAGUCCACAAAAGUUAUCAACACAAGAAUUUCAAGAAGGAAAACUCUAAGACAAAACUAAGGGAAUUUAAAAUAACAAAGAAGAAAAACUAAGUAAAUUAAGACACUCAAAUAGAUUAUCAAAUAAAUAAGAAAGAUAAAAACUUGCAAAUAUGCGAGUGACGAAUAUGUUGGAAGCAAAGUACUAAGAUAAAAAAUUGCAAUGCAUAAGAAAAUAUAUAUUGAUGUAUCAAAGUGAACUAAUUAUGUCAUUUUUUUUUAAAAUUAUUUUUAUGUUUAUAUAAAUGCCUUUUUUCAACAAGUGCUUUCGUGCAAAAUUAUUUUUUCGAAUAACUUAUAGUUUUAGUUUUUUCUCUGCAUAUUUGAAUUCUUCUUUUUCUAAUCAAUUUAGUCUUUUGAAUUUCUUGAAUCGGGCAUAUAUGAAGGAAAUAACAUCAAAAACAAGUUUACAAGUGAAAUUUUGGAUUAAAUAAUUGCAAAUAAAGAAGAUGGUGAAACGAAGUCCAUAUUUUUCUCUCACUCGAAAACAACAACUAAGGAAUCAAAAGUUCACUAAAAUAACAACAAGUAAUCUCCCAAAUAAACCUUGAUACACAUGUUAUAUAAAUAACAAAUAACUCAAGAUUAAACAAGGUUUCGAAUAAAAUGCAAUAAAAUGAAACUAAAUUUCAAAUAUCUCACAAACACAAAAUACUAGAAUAUAAAUUAACGACAAAGAUCACAACUUGAUGACAAGUUGUGAAUACCAAAUGUUGUGGAUUUAAAUGUUUUCACAUGAGAUUGAAGAUUUAACCAAAUGAUUUCUUCACAUGAAGUAACAAAUAAAAAGGGGACAAUGAACAAAAAUGAAUUAAGUUGAGAUGAUUGAUUAGCCAAUCAGGAAUCGUCACAACGGUGAAAAAAAAAACCAUGAAUAAGAUAUAAGCAAGUUAUAAUCUAAUAGCUUACAGGAGACCUAACUCACUCAACAUCCUCAUUAGAGAAAUUCUAUUUCAUUUCAAACUUGUCUUAAUGCAUAUUUUUAGUAAGACUAUCUCUAAAUCUAAAUGAGUCACAAGUGACACAUGUCUGAAGUUACAUCAUAUUUUUCUAAAAUAAACUAAAACUAAGAAAUUAAAGUAUCUUCAUUUAUAUAUGACAUCAACUAAAUUUAGAUUAAAACUAUUAUAAUUUCAAAUUAAAGCAAAUUAAGAAUGAUCAUAAACUAAAUUAAAAUAAAUAAAAUUCAUCAUAAUUUAUUAAAAUUUAAAUUAUUUUCAUACUCUUUAACUCCUUAUCACAACUCAAUUUUAAAUGACAAGGAUCUAAGCCAAUAACUCCGUUUUUAUAUAUAUAUAUAUAUAUAUAUGUGUGUGUGUGUGUGUGCGCGCGCGCGCGUGUGCGUGUGCGUAAGCGUGUGCGUGCUUGCGGGCGUGUGUGCGUGUGUGCGUGCGUGUGUAAGUGAUGAAAGAAUAAACAAACAAAUUAAUUAUUAAAAUUGUAAUGUCAGUCAAAUUAGUAAUUAAAUUUUGUACGAAUGGAGAAAUACUUAUCUAAAAUAGUAAAGUGUUAGUUAAAAUAGUCAUGGUAAAAUUUUUUAUAGUUAAGGAAUAUGAUAUGAAACACUAAUUGAAUGUAUAGUCUUACUACAUUAAUCUCACAUCAUAAUAUUGACAAAUUUUUCUAUAAAAUUUAUGUCUUUCACAUGCUAUAUGUUCAAGGCUAGUCCAUGCAUAAUUAUUGACAAUAUUGUUUCUAAAAUGAUCAAAUUUUAUAGGCAAAUCUAUUCCCGAUAAAUAAUUAUUCUUGGACCGUUGUGAAUAUUUAUGUUAGGGAAUAUUCAUUUUCCUUUAACUUUUUGUAUUCCGUAAUAUCUAUAACCUCUAUGACUAUGACUAAAGACUUUUCUCCAAUAAUUUUUUGUUUUAAGUCUUAUCUGAACUUACAAAUACAAUUAAAUUGGAAUUAUAUAAAAAAAUAAUACAAUUUUUUUUUCUUUUCUUUUUCUCCCUUAUCUCUAUUUUGCUGUAGCUUUGAUUAAUUUCAUAACAUCAAUUAAGGAGGAGUCAGUUGAAGGACUGCUUUUACUGUUCAUCAAGAAACUUACAUUGAUAUUGUAAGAUACAAAUUUGUGAGCUCAACGGAUACUAAAAUGCAAAUUUUCCAAUUCGUAAAAUUUAAAGAUCAAUCUAUCUACUAAGUCAUAAUAAGAUGGGUCGCAAGGACAAUAAUUGUGGAAGUAAAUAUUUUUACAUAAUCGACAAUGACAACGACUUAAUUAAUAAAAACAUGUAAAAGAAAAAAGAGCAUAAUAAAGCGAACCUUUUGGCGUGUACUAAGGCGGGUCAUCAUAAUUCCUAACUAAUCAACUAAAGUGUGUUGAUUGUGUCGAAUUGGUACUUUUGGUUGAUCCUCCAGAAGCUUAGGAAUUCGUUUGGCGCGGCGUAUUUUGGUCUUUUCCUUUAUCUCUGUGUUGUUGUACGUAUAUAUCCUUGUUAGUUUUAACCCUUCAACUACUCAUCACACGCAGAAAGAGAAAGAGAAAGAGAAAGAGAAAGAGAGAGAUGGUUGCACCCGCGAGACCUCAGUUCGUUCUCUUUGGAUCCUCCAUCGUUCAGCUAAGUUACAGCCAUACCGGUUGGGGUUCCUUUCUUUCCGACAUUUACUCUCGCAAGGUACUCAUUUCAAUACUCUUCAAUUUCACUUAUUUUCAUUCAUUUAUUCUCUUCAUCUCUUAUUUAUAUCUACCAAUUCUUCAUUUUCAAAUGUUCUGUGUUUUUAUCUUUUAAUCCGAAUCACAUCACGCAUAUAAACAUAAAUAAGUUGAGGACUUGAUGUCACAAUUAAAUAUUCCUUCUUCUAUUUCAAUGCCUUAAUUCAUGUUUUAUUCGCAUUGUACGCUAUACCAUAAUUAUACCGUGUGGUAUACCAUUACUUUGGGCUAUGUUUGAGAAAAUGGGGAAAAAUGAAAAAAUGUUCAUGGAAGAAUAUAAUUUAAAAAAGAAAUGAUAUUUGUGGCUUAAUGUGUAGUAAUUUUGAAAAUAUUUGGGAGAAUAACCGGAGGUUAUGAAACAUUGACACAAACACGUUACACAUGUAAUAAUUUUAAAAGAAAGAAAUGAUUGAAUGUAACUCCAUGUGUUAGUGUCAAGUCGGUGCUGUCCACAUGGCGCGAGGUCAAUCAGAAGUGUUGGUGCUACAUAGCUAGUAAGGUCCUCAGAAGAUACAAUAGGCGCUUCUCAAGGAAGCAAUUGAUGUUGGGUUGAAUUUGAAUUCCCAGCGAGUCUCGAUGCUCACACUGACCUAGUUCUUUUUGGGACAAAAUAGUAAUGAUCGCGUUCUUUCUUAAAUCUUAUCUUCAUUUUUUUGUCUAUUUGUAUAAAUUUUUCAAAACACACAAGUGAAUUUGAACAAGCAUACUUCAGUGUAACGCCAUGAUUGAUUUUCUUACAAGUAUUGUUGCUUCUAUUGGCUAUAUGACAAAAUAUCCCCUCAAUUAUUGAUUUUAUCUAUGAAUAUGGAAAAAGAAAACCAUCAACAACUGAAUAAAUUAUUCUAUUAUUUUAAGUUCCAAUUUCUUUCAAUAUUAUAUUUUAUCCUUCCUCAUGUUCUCCUAAAAGAUGCACAAAAUGAUUGCUAAGUAGGAAGACUGCGCAAAUACUGCAUUCGUGCACUUUCAUUUCAUAACUGUGUGUGUGUAAAGUAGAAUCCAAAUACUGCAUCCUUAUCAUGUUUUUUCCCCCUUUUUUGUUUCUCUUCCUCAAAUAGAAAUAUUAAGGAGGAUGUUCAUCUGUUAUGUUAUGCUGAUGCAAAUGCACUUGUUUUAGGCAGACAUAUUGUUAAGAGGAUACUAUGGAUGGAACUCGCGACGUGCCCUUGAAGUCCUCGAACAAGUUUUCCCAAAGGUAUUGUACCUCACUAGGCAGAUAACUGGACUAUCAUAUCUACAAAUAAAGUGAUUCCUUUUGCGUAGCUUGAUUUCUUCAUUAUAGCUGAUUGAUGUAGUUUGUGGCUUAACAUGAUUUAUUGGUGGAAAGUGCAGUUUCUUAAAAUGAUAUAUUCCAUUAAUCCCUUCUUUUUGUAUUUUGAUAUCUUAAGAGAACUCUUGCUUACUUGAUACUCUCUCAAUUCAUUAUUAAUUAAUUCUUCUUGAAAAAAACUUAGUUGAUUACUGUAAUGGAAUUGGUAAAUCCUAAAUCCCCAAGGGGAAAAUAAAAAUAGAAAAGAAAAAAAAAACAUGAAACUAACCAAGAGGCAAGAGCAAAACCUUGUAUUUCCACCCAACAAUUGCCUAAUAAAAUGAAAGUCCGCUGAAAUUCGGAAGACACAAUUUUAAGGAACUUUUCUCUAACCAAUCAAGUUUUCUAUCUGUAGAGGCUGGACUAGGACCCAUACUGACGUUCAGUUACUGAACAAUUAGUAAAUCUUCCCCUGGUUGCAUAUACACUUAUUCUAAUAAUGGUCAGAAGUGUUCCAUUGUAUAGGAUUUAUAUUUUAAAUAUGCAUAGGAUUAAGAACUCUAUAUAGGCCCCUGUUUGUUUAAGUUCAUGCAGGCUAAUGUUUGACACAUGGAUAUGAAAUUUUUCUGUUAUUGUACAGCUCAUGUAUUUUACAUUCUAUCUCUCUUAGAUUUUCAUGUGAUCGCAUUUCAACAAUAUCCUGCCUGCAACAUAAUUUUUAUCCUACUUCCCAGGAUGCUGCUACACAGCCUUCUCUUGUGAUAGUAUACUUUGGAGGUAAUGAUUCCAUGGGUCCUCAUUCAUCUGGUCUAGGCCCUCAUGUGCCUCUUCAAGAAUAUAUUGCAAACAUGAGAAAGAUUUUGGUUCAUAUUCAGGUACUUCUGCUCUGUUAAUCACCUGGUUCUUUCUCCAUUAUUGUCCUUUACCAAGCAUUGUAGACAGAUAUCUUCACUUUCAGUAUUGGACACUUCAAUGACAAACAUAAUGUAACUCAUUUGAACUUAGACCUUCCAUUACACUGUCGUAUGCCUUGCCUUACCCAAGUUCUCCAAUACUGUUUCCUUGCGCAUAAUAAAAUAGUGCACUCAAUAAUGAAACAUGGUGUGCUUGAGUUCAUUAUAUUCAUUUAUAGUUUUAUACGAAACAACAUAUUCAAAAACCUUUGUUCAUAAACUAUAGACAUAAUAUGUGGAUUAUUGUGUUCAUCAAACGGCAACAAGCCAAACAAAUGAGGGAAAUCAGGAAUAGUGAAAAAUGAUGUGUUGCAGUGAUCAGUGGCAGCAAGUAGUAUUUCCUUAAUAAUGAAGAAACAUUUAUCUUAAAUAUGAUGAUUUUUUUACUACAUUUAUGAUCACAUUUUCAUUUGCACAGUAAAACUAUAAUUCAUUAUUUAAUGAGAAUAUUGAAUGUAGAGCCUCUCAGAAAAUACGCGUAUCAUUGUUCUCAGCUGUCCUCCUGUCAAUGAGGAAAAAGUGCGUGGAAACACUAGGUAACCUGAACAUAUUUUUCUUUUACAUUUUCAUCUCUGUAAUUGUAUUUAGAUAACAUACUAAAAUUCUAAUCACAUAAUUUUGAUUUUCCUUUCUUAAUCAGUUCAAUUUUUAGUGAGCUGGUAAGAACAAAUGAUUUAUGCGGAAGCUAUUCAGAUGCUUGUAUAAAGCUAUGCCAGGAACUGGGUGUGAAAGUCAUUGAUCUUUUUAAUGCAUUGCAAAGUAAAGAUGACUGGGAGAAUGCUUGUUUUACGUAAGCAUCUUGACCUCUUUCUUUAUCAAUCAAUUUUUCUCUCCAAAUACCAGGAAAUAUCAAGUGACAUAUUGCAAUGUAAUUGUUCAAUAUCCAAAUCCUUCCCUAGCUUUUCUCAAGUAUCUUGUUCUUUCAUGAUGCUUUAUUUGCUAGAAGGUCUAAGCACACAAUCUUCCAUCCUAAAUGCAUGUUGACUGAUUCAAUCUUUUGAUUAAUUUAAACCUGGAUUAGUCACUUUCUUGAAGUUAUAAUGUAUUCCCCCUAUUCCUUUUUACUUGUCACUUUUGUAGAAAAAUUUUGUUCUUAUUUACUUGUCAUUUUCAAAGUUCAAUGUAAUAUUAGUAAUUACUUUGUCAAUAAUAUCCUUAAUUAUUUAUUGCAAAGAUAGAAAUAGUGGAAUGAGAUAAUAAAUAGUUUAGGUUGUUAUUGGAAAAAGACAAUUUUAUUAAAAGUAACAAAGUUUAUUAAUUUUCUUGGUAUGUGUAAAUAAACUUAAAACAUCAACGAAAAAGUAACGGAUAGAGUAUAUGUUAUUCUCCUCUCCACCCUCACUGGAUCUGUACAUCCGUAAAAUGUAAUUUGUUUUGAUUCUUGAAAGAUUUGAUUAACCUAACUUGGUCCUAGAAGAUAAGUGAUAGUAUUAUUGUAGUUCCCUGAAAGUUGGAGAGUGGCAUCAAUUUAGUUCUCCAAGUAUACUGAUAGCAAUUUAUUUCUUCUACAAGUGUCAUUUCAUCUACAUAACCAACCCUUUUUGGUGGGAAAAACCUCCGGGCCCCAGAAAGAUGAUUUUCAGGUUACUUUCAAUGAUGAUAGGAUACUAAAUUGAUUUACAUAUAUUUUAAGAUUGUUGCUUUUUCUGAUGUUUAUAUGUUGUUAUCUUCAUCUCUUUUGCAAUAGAAAGUGUUGGCUUUUUUUUUUUCCCUGAUUUUUUGUGAGAUAUAUUAAAGAACAGCCCUUUUAGUGUCACAUAAUGUGAUAUAACUUGUAAAAGAAAAUGAUGUAAAAUGAUAAAUCUUCCUAAAGUAUCUUUAAUCUGUUCUCAAUUUCAAUGAAUUAUUAUGCAGUGAUGGUGUCCAUUUGGCCGCCGAGGGAAGCAAAAUUGUGGUGAAAGAGAUACUGAAAGUACUUAAGGAGGCUGAUUGGAAGCCAUGCCUCCACUGGAAGUCCAUGCACACUGAAUUUUCAGAAGAUUCACCAUAUGAUCUUGUUGCUGCUGACGGCCAAAAAACACUGAAUCCUUCUGAGUGGACUUUUCACAGAGAGAUUCAGUGGGAUUAGGAUAUUGAGUUAUCAACCUUAUAUUAGCAGUUUCCUUAUUUACGUUUUGUUAAAAAAAUAUUGAUUUGUUAAAAGGUGACAAAAUUGUCAUUCAUAAAGUUUGUAAUUUUCUGAUUUAAUUGAAAUUUAGCUGAUAUAGAGUAGAAUAUAGUCCUAUACUUCCGUAGCUAUAUGCAAAUUUCAUCAUGUCUUUGUCGUUCAAGGAAUUUCUAAAAUCAGUGUAAUAAGUUAUAUCUUUAUGGACAAAUAUUAGUUUUUAGUUUUAUGUUAAUAUUUUAGUUAUCUGUACUAUAAAUAUAUCAUAUAACCGAGUUGGAACUCUAACUCUUAUUCUGAAUAAAUCAACGUGAAAGUUAUACUACUCCUGAGAGGUAAUGCACAACUUGUCAAAUCUCGUUAACAAAUCGUUGUCUAGUUAUACAUAUUUAGCACUCUUAUUACUUUAUUUACAUUUAGGUCGCAAGUUGCAACAAUUUAAGUUUUUUAAAAGAAAACAAAAAACAUUAAUUAGAAUGGUUAAAUAUGUUUGUGAUGAAUUUUAUAGAGAUUAAAAAAUGUGAUAUCCUUUAGUUGGUAAAAGACCAUGGAGACAUUUGAUAUAUCGUGACAAAGCUCGAUUUCAUAAUUUUUUAUACUUAAUGUGAUACGAGGUUGUUGAGCUGAGAGCACCAAACAAGCCUACAACAUGGAAUGAGAUCCGUAUAAGGCAGCUAUGUAAAUAUAUGAAUUUGGAUCCUCUUAUGUGGUGAAUCAAACAUGAGAGCAUCAUGUUCAUCAUCUCACAAUUUUUUUUUUAAUUCUUAAACAAUCGCUUUUUGUUAGCAUGACUCUUUACUUAAUAUUGUCAAGUUGUUGUUUAUAACCAAAUUUCAAUAGGAUUAAAGACAUGCUACACGACAUGAUAGAUAAAUGACAGGUAGAGUGUGUUUUUGGAGAAAUUGAAAAUCACUUUAAAGACCCGCUACGUCCAUCCAAUUCUCAACUUGUAGCUUUUGAAAUUUAUGGUGACAAUUCAUUUUGGAAUGAGAGAUUGAAUAUUUAAAUGUGGAAUCAAUUGGGUUAUAAGGAAUCUUCAUUUAGGUUUAUUGUACAACUAGCAUAAGUAGAAGUAUCAGUACCUUCACUUGUCAAAGGAAGAACAAUAAAAGAUCAAAAUUGAGUGGUGUAAUAUUUUAUAAAUAGACUAAAAGAUAAUAGAUAAAUGAAAUUAAAUUUUAUUUUAAAAAUUAACAUGAUUUUUUAUGGUAUUUAAAUAAUAUUCUAUAAAAUUCACUUUAUAAAAUAUUUUUAAAUAGUUCAAAAUUUUAUGUUGGUCAAUAUAUUUAAAUUGUAAAAAAUGCUAACAAAUUUAUAAUUUUAAUGUAAAAUACAAAAUUUAAUAAAUCAUUAUUAAAAAAAUUAAAUAUAACCUGUAUUUACUUAACUAUUUUAAUACGAUAGAUUUUAAAGCUUUUUUUGUAUAUAGUAUGAUUUUUUUAGUUAAAUAGACUAAAAAUAAAUAUUUAUUUUGUCUAUUAAAAAUAUUUUAAUUUGAGUUUGAUGUAGUCAUUCAUUUAUGGAAAUUUACUUACAAAAAGAAGUAUUUCAUAAAAGAAGACACUUCUCUUUUAUUUAAAUAAGUGACUCUACAUGUAUUUACUUUUUCUUGUGGUUUUUCAGGAUUUUGUCGUCUUAAUGUGAUGUUAUUUUACUAAUCACCUUGGUGUGAUGGUGUUUUAAUUUUUCAUCUUUUUGUGAUUUUUGUUUAAUUCAGAUUGACAUGUCAACUUCAAUCUAGUGCAAAUUCAAUCAUUAACUCUAACAUUUCAACGUUACAAUUUCGAAAACAUAAAAUAUUCAAAACAUUUCAAUAUUUUUUCGUAAUCAUAGUUUUUGUUAUAUUUAUAUAUUUUUUGUUGUUUUAUGGUAAAAUCACAAAUUUAUCAUUUUCAAUAUUAACAUCUUUAAAUUGUAUUAUGUUUUGUUGAUGUAAUCUCUCCUAAUUUGAAUUUAUGAAUAUUAUUUUUUUUCUUGAAAAAAAUACUACAGCAGGUGUAUUGGUAAAAUUGGAGUGCUAAUAGCGGUGAUCUAUCUAUGUUUUGCCCGUUUUCAGAACGGAUCACGAAAACAUUCAUUUUUCUUCCGGUUCAGAAAAAAACACUAGAAAAAAAAAAAAAAGCGGCGCAGUUUUUACUUUACUGACCAAAAAAGAUGGCGCCGAAUUAAAAACAAAAAUAGAUGGCGCCAAUUUUGAAACAAGUAAACCCUAAUUUUCUUCCCCAACAUUCCCGAUCCGUUCAAAGUCGAAGCCACGAAUUGAAUUACGCAAGUUUUCAAAUUGAAGACAAGAUCAUUCCUUCUUCUUCAUGUCCUAGUAAAUUAUAUACUUUCUACCUAUUAGCGAUUUCGGAAAAUUCAGAUAAAAUAUUACCGAAUUAUACUCCACAUCAUCAAAUCCUAGUGAACCACACCACAACCGGUAGAAGGGAAGAGAUUUCACUUUCGUUUCAGCUCUGAAUGCUUCAGAAUUUGUCACUAUUUGAGGUAAGGGACUCUAAACUAUAAACCCAUUUGUUGAAUGUUUUUAUUUUUCCAAUUCCCAUUGCUGAAUGUUACUGGAAACACGAAAAUUUCUCUAUGUAGCCAUUGUUGUGUCUGUAUUAUCGAGGUAAAGAACUGAACAUGAAAAGGGGGAAAGUAAAAAUGGGGGUUGGUUUGGUAGAGUACUAACUGAAGAUGAUUAGGAAGUGUGUAUUUGGUUGUCAGGAUUAUGUGAUUCUCUGAUUUUAUUUUGGUCAGGUUGAUGGUGUGUAAAAUUACAACCUCUUAUCCUUUGUUUGAAAGCUACCUGGUCGAAAAUCAAGAUAACAUUUGGACCAAGUUCAUUGUAUAAAGCUUUAUCAUUAAUUACAUAUUGACUUAUCAAUAAGGGAUUGGGUUCAGGGUUACACUUACUCAUUCACGGAGAUUUCUGGUCUGUUUCACGGACUAGGUGUUUGGCUGGCUUCAUUUGGUAUUGGUGUUUCAAAAUAUAACAGAGGAGGUUUUGUGGUUGAAAAAUGUUAUGUCGUAGUGUUUGUGUUGGUAUAAAGUCAACUAUGUUUGGUGACAGAAAUUUCGAUUGCAAUUUGCUUUGUAUUACUAUAAUUCUGGAGGUCGUCAAGCUUGUUGAUGUACUUGAUUGAUUGCUUUGCAACAUUUCUUCUUAUAUCUGAAGCAGAAAUCCAUUAUAGCUUGUGCUAAGAUUGACUAUGUAUCCUGAAUUUACUUCAUAUGCUGAAUCUUUGUUGAGAAAAUAUCAUACAACUUUCUGUGCUUUAUCAAAAUAAUGCUUUUAAUGUUUCCUAAGAGUUUGUUUAGCUGGAAUUGCUUGAUUACAUAGUUUUUUAGAACAUGUGUAGUAACCAAUGCUGCCCGUGCAAAUGCACGGCUAGUUUGCUAGUUUGCUUUCUAUCUUAUUGGUCUCAAUGCUUGCGAUUUUAAAUUUCAUCAUAAUGGAACUGCUAACAACAGAUGCUGUUACAGAAUGUUUAAUAAAAUAUUAAAGACAGUGACUGAAGUUCUCUGUAUAGAACAGCUUCAAAUUUUCUUUGCUGAUUUAUUUUUGGUACCUUUAUUAUUUGAUUAAGGAAACUAAACAUUUUUUGAAUGUAUAGUUUUAUGCUCAAAAUUCCUUUAUCUGCAGAGUGCCCUUUCGAUGAGUUAAAAGAAAGCGUAAGAGCAACAAGCUAGAGGAUAGGAUGGCAAGUUACUAUGAUAUUGAUGAUAUUUUGGUGGAGGAAGAGGCAAGCUUCAGACUCUUUAAUUUGUUUAAUUAUUUGCUUCUAGUUGAUACAUGUCAUAUUUAAUAAUGGAUGGUCAUUUUCGGAUAAUUGAUUUUGUAAAUGAAAUUUUUUCUACAGUAGUUAGCCUCAUGAUAUAUGGUUGGUGUUUUUUGGCUGUUUCUAGUUCAUAUCAGAUUCUAUUUGUUGUGUUAACAAUGACAAUAUAGAAUGCAAUCUAAAUUUCUUGUCCUAAUUCUACUUUUUUGUUAUGUUGUCACAGAUUGUGUCUGUUAUAUUUCAGAAGGCAGCAUCUGGAGUGGGAAUAGAUCCCAGUUCUGAGACAGACUUCGUAAGAGUCAUUGACACUGUAUUUUAUGUUUUUCAGAGGGGAAAAAUUGCUGAUGGUGGAAGUGGAACUUAAUGAUUUCACCUGACAUUUAGAAUGUUUGAUUUUCAGAUUGAAGCGGGUUCAAAAGUUGAACUGCCUUUUUGGCUUGCUCAUGAGUUACAGUUGAGACAAGCAGUAUCUGUCAAUGUUCCCCCUUGUUUCAAUCAAAAGUAAUUAUCAUUUUAUGUGGGUUUGCAACUUAUAGGUGCACUCUAUUAUAUAAUUGAGCAUGUCAUGACAUUAAUAAUGGGUUAUUAGUGUCAUUUUUAACAAUUAGGACUUCGGAAGCACAAUUUCAUUUCUUCUACACCUAAAAUGAUUUUGCCGACCAAUCUAGUUACGUGUUUUUUAACUAAAAUCUUGUUAAGUGUUAACUCUUGUUUUUUAGGGCCUUAGUUAGAAUUGGAGCCAUUUUUUUUUCUUUAACCUCAUUUUUCCAUGGAACCGAGGAUAGCAAAAAGUUACUAUUUGUCAAUUUGCUGCUUUCAUGAAAGUUAUAAACCUGUGAAGGCAUAUGCAUGCGAAUCUGCAUCAGCACUCACAUCUAAAUGUACAACAGUAAUGUUGAUAGCCUGAUGAUGUUUAUAUUUCUUAUUUUUUUUAAAUUUUAAUUUAUUAUCUUAUGGUUGAUGGUUCUUAUUUUCAGAACAAGACUAGAGAUCCAAGCUGAUUGUGCAUGUGUGGAUCUGAGGUCCAGAUGUCCUUACUUUUAUGAAUUUGGUUGCAAGAUAGCACCCAUGUAAGUCUAUCUUUUCUUAUCUGAAAGAGUUUUCUGUGCCUCUUAGUCUUUAAUUUGAUUCUUAUUUGAAAAAAAAAAUUAAUACAGUAUUAAUUUUUUCUUGGAAGACAGUACAUGGCUGUCAUGUUUCAUCAUGCUUCUUAUCUAGAUAGGCCUAGGAAUCUCAAUAUUUUGUUAUUACAUGGUUAUACAGAGCAUCUCAUUCAAAAAUUAAACCCUUAUUGCUGCACAUUCUAGAGUUAACCCACGAAAAAAAAAGUUACACGACAAAAUGUUGAAUUUUUUUCCAAUUGGCGCUUUGGACGAGUCUUUCUUAAAAAAUUUGGCAACAUGUUCAGUUGCUCAGUCUGCCCCCCCGGCCAAAACAAUAUUAUGUCCCACCUUUAAAGCGCUAGCAUAUCUAGAGAAAUUAAAAGUUUCCGUAAACAAACUUAAUUUAGACCAUUCUUAGUUGGCACACGGCACAACAUCUGAAUAUGUUGUAUGUUGACUUUUGAAGAGCAACUCCAUAUGCCACCUUUGUCAUGUAUAUACAUUGCAAAUGCCAAUAUUAUAACAAAGUGCAUAUUUGUUUCUUUUCACUUUUCGAUUAUAUAAAUUGGAGGUGUCCAAUUUUAGUUACAGCAUAAUUAACAUAUACUACUAUGCAGUUGUACUUAAGUUGUCCUCCUUUGUGAAUUUAUUUCUCAUUUAUGGCAGAGUUGGCGAUAGGACCAUCGGAUUUCUGUUGUUGUCUGCAUUUAAGAAUAGGUACAAGGAGGUCCUCACGAAGGCACACACUGCAACAAUUGCCGUUGGAUCCAAAUUUUGGACUAUUCUAACAAAAGAAGAGAUCAAUUGUGAGACUUGUUUUACUUGCUAAAUGAAACAUGCCUAUCAUCUUCACUUAUGUGGUAGAUCAUUUUCCUUCCCAUGCAAGGAACUGUUCAAUUAAUUAAUUUUUUCUAUUUUUUUUGGGUAGUAUAUGAGACAGCUCAAUCCGCAAUGGCAUCCUUCAAGAAGUGGCGAAUGGGGGGGGCCAGAUUUCAGAUAGCUUCUAUUCUUGGAAGAAAGAGAAAACCAACUGAAUAGUUGCUUUCUAAUUUAUUAGAAAUCUGUUUAAGUCGUGUUAGACUGCAAAUUGCAAGAUGUUAAGAAUGGACUAAAAUAUCAAGUUACUGACGUUAACCUUGUACACUUAAUACAAUAUAUGUGUUGCAUUGCAAUCUUAAAUAAUUGCUUUAAGAUUAUGAAUACGAGGAAUUUGACCUCUUAAGAGCCCAGAUACAAGUUUUCUUGACAAUUGAUCUUUGUGUGGGCAUUGGGUUUGUUGUGUAAUGUAACACUAAAGCCAGAUAAAUAAAACAAGUUCUGGCAGUUGAUUUUUCCAAAUUACGCUAAUUUUGUGUUUUAUCUGUUGUGCCUAUUCUGUCACUUGGGGUAUUGUAUUACAUUUCAUUUAUUUGGAUUUAUUUAUUAUUUUUGAAUGGAUAAAAUAUGGUAUUAAUUUCUAAGUCUGAAAAUUUAAGUCUUUAAGCCACAAACAGCUUGAUUACAAUUCUAUAAUUGAGUUUAGUUUUUACUAUUCUAUUGAUUUUUUUAAUGCUAGUGCUACAAGAUCAGAAGAAGUAAUUGAAAACAAAAAUAAUUAGCUAGAUGUUUCUACUGCUGGGAGCAAGGAAAAAAUUUCGAGUAGUUAUAUGUAUUAGGAUUAGUUGUUUUUUUUUAACAAACCAUUUGGCUCUAUAAAAAAUAGACCAAAGCAUAUUGAUUAAUUUAUCAUUAAAAAUAAUUAUUUUUAAAAUAAAUUAGAGAUUAAUUUCUAUACAUACAGGUGUAAGAUAUUUUUACACGUGCAACUAAUCAAAAUAUGUCAAAUAAAUAUUUAAAAAUAUAUUUUAGCAAUUAACUUAAAAAGUUCUCGUUAAAUUAUGACAAAUCAUACGAUUGAUUUUAUAACUAGUUACGACAAAUGUCAAACAUUAUUAAUAAUACAAUAAUAGUUGUGAAAGUGUAAAAACUCUAUAUAAAUUAAAUUCAAAAAAUAACUACAUAAUUGUAGGCAAACAAAAAAUUGUAUUUAAAAGAUAAACUUUCCCAAACAUACAAGUAAUUCAGCCUAUUUAGUUAGUAUCUACUAAAGGAACAUAUUCAGCCUAGAUAUUUUAGUUAAAAUUGAAUCUAGUCUGCCAGAACUUGAAUCUAGUCUGAGUCAAUCAAUCAUAUUCGCAUAUAAGAAUCUAUCACCAGAACUUGUACAAUUUUUGGCCUUUUUGUUGUUGAAAGGUAGUAUAUAUUCUUCUCCAUCUAGUGAUGGAAAUUUAAUAAAACUUUUUGUUUGGGAGUAGAAGGGUUUUCGGAGGAGGAAAAGAAUCAAAACAUCAACCACUUAAGAUAUUUUGAAGAUAUUUUCUAAGUAUUCACAUCUAAACCAAGCUAAAUAAAACUAUAGUUUGAUUCAGAAAAAAUGAAAACGAUAUAAAAUCAAAUUUUAUUGAAUGUUUUUAGAUAUCUUGUGUGAAAUAAAAUUUUUGAUUAAUUUUUAAAAGCCAAAUUAAACUCAAUUACAUGUAUAAAUUUUAUUAAUUAGUUAUUUAUUCUAUAAAUAAAGAGAAAUACUUUAUUUAAUUUGUAUUAAUACUUCAUUUUUUUAAUAAUAUUUAUUAGUUCAAAUAUAAUAUUUCGUAUGCUAAAAAAAUUAAUUGAUAUAAUAUAAAUAUACAAAUAUAUAUCAAUAAAAAUCAAAUGAAUAGAUGAAUAUCAACAUUAAAUUUAAUUAGAUCAAUUUUUUUAAGGAGGAAUCCAAAUUAAGCUGCAUAAUAAUUGAAGGAAGAUGAAUCGUUGACUCUAAUAAUAAUUUUGAGAAGAGUUAAUCUGCUUAAUGUCUUAUUAUAAAUGAUGAAUUUCAUUAAUCAAACAAUUGAAUCAAAAUUUAUAUUUGAAUAAAUUAAUUCCACAAAGUUUUAUAAAAUUCUAAACCCAUUUGAUCAUACUUUAAAUAAUUUUAAAUGAAUAUAUAUAUAUAUAUUAAAUUUUAAAAAAUAUAAGUAAAUAUUAUUAAUUAUAUUAUAUUAUUAUAAAUUUCAUAUUUAUAUAAAAUUUUAUGUGUUUAACUAUUAAUAUAUUAUGAUAAUAAUUAACUAUUGAUUUAAUUAUAUUUAUUGUUUACCACGAGUAAUUAGAUAACUUUUUCACUAGAGAUUGACAUCAAAUUGCAAAUAUACCUUGUUAUAGUAAAAAAAAAAAAUUAAAAUAAAUUCAAAAGAUGAAACUUAAAAAUUUAACUUAUUAAAUCUAAAAUAUGAUUAAAUUUAUUUCUCGAUGAUAUAUCAUUCGAUUAUUAAUAAUUUAAUAUAAUAGUAUUAAAAAUAUUAAUUUUGAAAUGAACAGUAAAAAUCUCCCUACUACAAUGAGAUAUUUUGUUAGUGGCAGAGAGUAUCCGCAUCCACCAAGGCAACACCACGGUUCUUUAUGUCCUCGUGGCAUUGCACUUUUCACUUUUAGCCUCCGUAUCCAUCCCUUAGAUAUUUUCGUCUCAAAUGUCAAUACUACCCCUUACAUAGACAACAAAUGGAUCAAUGAUAUAUAUCUUUUUAUACUAAAAAGUAAAGUUCAUUUUAAAUAAUUUAAUAUAGCAAAUGUUUUAGAAAAUCUCACCAUGGUUUCUCUUCUAUAUAUAUAGUAAUUACCUAGCCACAUUUCUACACAACACAACCAAAAAAGAAAUCCAAAUAUCCGAACAAACAAAAAAGACAUGACGGUUUUUGCCGAACAUAACUAAACUUGUCUUUUUUUUCUUUUCUUCACAUGACCACACUUUAUUCACCCUCCUCCGCCGCAGAAUCCACCAUGGAAGACACCUCUAACCACCACCACCGGUCGAAGAAGAACAAGCUCCGCCGCCGUCCCCCAACCACCGGAGAUUCUGACUUGGAGGAAGCAGAGGACGGCGAUCCCGAGGUGUGGGCGACACUGAACAAGAGUUUCCGGCAGGUGCAGUCGGUGCUUGACCGGAACAGGGCAAUAAUUCAACAGGUGAACGAGAAUCAACAAUCUAGAAUGGC
rnacentral:lncRNA from 1 species